rnacentral:rRNA from 1 species
AUUGAACGCUGGCGGCAGGCCUAACACAUGCAAGUCGAGCGGUAGAGAGAAGCUUGCUUCUCUUGAGAGCGGCGGACGGGUGAGUAAUGCCUAGGAAUCUGCCUGGUAGUGGGGGAUAACGUUCGGAAACGGACGCUAAUACCGCAUACGUCCUACGGGAGAUAGCAGGGGACCUUCGGGCCUUGCGCUAUCAGAUGAGCCUAGGUCGGAUUAGCUAGUUGGUGGGGUAAUGGCUCACCAAGGCGACGAUCCGUAACUGGUCUGAGAGGAUGAUCAGUCACACUGGAACUGAGACACGGUCCAGACUCCUACGGGAGGCAGCAGUGGGGAAUAUUGGACAAUGGGCGAAAGCCUGAUCCAGCCAUGCCGCGUGUGUGAAGAAGGUCUUCGGAUUGUAAAGCACUUUAAGUUGGGAGGAAGGGUUGUAGAUUAAUACUCUGCAAUUUUGACGUUACCGACAGAAUAAGCACCGGCUAACUCUGUG